rnacentral:ncRNA from 16 species
ACUGGCCGCACACGACUGGCGCGGGUGGGGAACCACCGGGGAGUGACGAUCGUGGGCAUCGCCCGCCUGGGUGCCCGCA